rnacentral:tRNA from 1 species
UCCCUGGUGGCCUAGUGGUUAGGACUCAGCACUUUAACUGUUGUGGCCCAGGUUCCAUCCCUGGUCAGGGAA